rnacentral:rRNA from 1 species
CCUACGGGGGGCUGCAGUGGGGAAUAUUGGACAAUGGGCGAAAGCCUGAUCCAGCCAUGCCGCGUGUGUGAAGAAGGCCUUCGGGUUGUAAAGCACUUUUAGUGGGGAAGAAAGCCUUGGGGCUAAUACCCUCGAGGAAGGACAUCACCCACAGAAGAAGCACCGGCUAACUCCGUGCCAGCAGCCGCGGUAAUACGGAGGGUGCGAGCGUUAAUCGGAAUUACUGGGCGUAAAGCGCGCGUAGGCGGUCUGAUAAGCCGGUUGUGAAAGCCCCGGGCUCAACCUGGGAACGGCAUCCGGAACUGUCAGGCUAGAGUGCAGGAGAGGAAGGUAGAAUUCCCGGUGUAGCGGUGAAAUGCGUAGAGAUCGGGAGGAAUACCAGUGGCGAAGGCGGCCUUCUGGACUGACACUGACGCUGAGGUGCGAAAGCGUGGGUAGCAAACACGAUUAGAUACCCUGGUAGUC